rnacentral:misc_RNA from 1 species
CACUGAAACUUUCUGAUGUACAAGUAGUACAUGUACAUAUAUAUGUAAUUGUUAUUUUUAUAGAAAAAUAAAUAAAUGUAUGUUAAGAAAUGAAAAACUUAUAAAUGGCAAAUUUUAACAUGUCAGUUUAUUGUUAAUUUUUAACUCAUCGCGGGCAGGAUUUUUGUCUUUGCAUUUUUUCCACUCAUUUUUAAUAUAAAAAUGUCAUUAAAUCAGAACUUCACUCUGAAAAGAAAUCAAAUGUUUUAAUGAAACUGUACAGUGCUGUGUAAUGGUAGUGCUUAUUAUCAUCAUAUGAUUUAGGUAUCAUGAUGAAAGCAUUAUUUUAAGCAUGUAUAGAAUUUUACUUUGAAAGUAUUUGUUAAUAACAUGCUAUCUGGUCAAAAAUCUGUAAUUUUCUGUGCUACAUUGUGAUUUAACUGUCGUCUUUUGUUGAAAGAAAUUGACCUUUUAUUUUUAAGUAAAGAUUACUGGGUAAUUCCUAGAAAAACAAACUCAAGCAAUUAUAUAAAAUUUUUUUAUUAGCAUGCAGGUACAAAAUUCAUUUUCUUUUAAUUUUAAAUUCUUAUUUUUUUCUCUUAUAAACAAGAAUUUUACAUGUAUAUUGAUUAAACGAUUUAAAUUUGAUUCAUUUUUGUAUACUGUUUUAUUUUAUAUUGUCAACUUCAAUUUCAGCACAUUUUAAAAUGUAAAUCGAAUCAUUAAAAUCAGUAU